UAUCAUUCUUUGUUAUUAUUAUGCCUUGGAUUCCACUUAAUCCAUUUUCCCCCUUGUAUUAGUGAAAAACCUCCGUGUUCAGCUAUUUGCAGAUUGUAGCCAUCUUGAUUUUUGGGCUGCGAACAUAUUCGACUUUAAGGCUGUGAAGGAGAUUAAGAUUUUGCUAGUUCUUCGCUUUCCUGUAUUUUCCCAAAAAGGAAUCCAAUCUGAGAGGAGUUAGCGUUUUAGACCAAUGGCAAUUCUCUGAUUAGAUUUUUCUAACUGAUGGAUGACACACUCACCAAUCUUUUCACAUUGACAAGUUUCGUCAAUGAUCAUUUCAUACAAUUCAUUGGGCAUCUUGUACUUAGAGAUGUAGACAGAUGGAAAGAACAUUUUGUGAUCAAUCCAGCGGUCAUUUCUUCAGUAUAAUGUAUAAAAAGUUACACCAGCAGCACAUCUUCACAGCCAGAAACUGUUGGCCAAAACCACGAUAUAUGUGAAAGAGGAACUGUUCGUAGUACCAAUGAUACGUGAUCUUUAAUUUUAAAUACCAGUUAUAUCACUGCCAUUGUUCCUUUGUUUUUAAAAGGGUAAUGAUCUUUUUCCUUUGUGCUUAAAUUUCCAGAAAAGUCAAGCACGUAAAUCAAAGCUUUCAGUCUAGAUUCUUAUAUGUUAGAUGAAGUGGAAUGGCCAAUAUCUUGAGCUUUUGCCAAUUGCUACUGGACU